rnacentral:rRNA from 1 species
GUGGGGAAUAUUGCACAAUGGGGGAAACCCUGAUGCAGCAACGCCGCGUGAGUGAAGAAGUCAUUCGUGAUGUAAAGCUCUAUCAGCAGGGAAGAAAAUGACGGUACCUGAGUAAGAAGCCCCGGCUAACUACGUGCCAGCAGCCGCGGUAAUACGUAGGGGGCAAGCGUUAUCCGGAUUUACUGGGUGUAAAGGGAGCGUAGACGGCCAGACAAGUCUGAAGUGAAAAUCCAGCGCUUAACGUUGGAAGUGCUUUGGAAACUGCCGGGCUGGAGUGCAGGAGGGGCAGGCGGAAUUCCUAGUGUAGCGGUGAAAUGCGUAGAUAUUAGGAGGAACACCAGUGGCGAAGGCGGCCUGCUGGACUGCAACUGACGUUGAGGCUCGAAGGCGUGGGGAGCAAACAGGAUUAGAUACCCUGGUAGUCCACGCGGUAAACGAUGAUUACUAGGUGUCGGGGGGCUAGAGCCCUUCG